rnacentral:rRNA from 1 species
CCUACGGGAGGCUGCAGUGAGGAAUAUUGGUCAAUGGACGAGAGUCUGAACCAGCCAAGUAGCGUGAAGGAUGACUGCCCUAUGGGUUGUAAACUUCUUUUAUAAAGGAAUAAAACGAGGCACGUGUGCCUUUUUGCAUGUACUUUAUGAAUAAGGAUCGGCUAACUCCGUGCCAGCAGCCGCGGUAAUACGGAGGAUCCGAGCGUUAUCCGGAUUUAUUGGGUUUAAAGGGAGCGUAGAUGGGUUGUUAAGUCAGUUGUGAAAGUUUGCGGCUCAACCGUAAAAUUGCAAUUGAUACUGGCAGUCGUGAGUACAGUUGAGGUAGGCGGAAUGCGUGGUGUAGCGGUGAAAUGCUUAGAUAUCACGAAGAACCCCGAUUGCGAAGGCAGCUUACUAAACUGUGACUGACAUUGAUGCUCGAAAGUGUGGGUAUCAAACAGGAUUAGAUACCCUGGUAGUC